rnacentral:sRNA from 1 species
AAAAAAAAGCAAAGCUUGGAAAAAAGACUAAAAAAACAGAUAAUUUGAAGAAAACAGUCUCAACAUUGACUACGGAUAUAAACCAUGAGAAAAUAGAGAAUAUCAAGCUAACGGAAAACUUAAAGUCAAUGUCUUCUGAGAAGGAAAGGAUGGAAAAGACAAAAGUGAAAUACAAUAAGUUAAAGAAUGACUUGGAGACAACUAAAAAAGAAUUAGGUAGGUUUACGAAAUAAAUAGAUAUUUUUAUUUAAAUAUGUUGAUGAUAACAAACAUUUAUCUUUGUUAUCACGUAUAUAGUAACUCCUAUGCAAACAAUACUUAAUAUACGCUGUAAUACAGAUUUAAGUAAAUUAACUUGUUUUAAAACAUUGUAAAUGUAUAUUGUUUGGAUUAACUUUGGAUAAGAAUAAUUUUUUUUUCUGUUGACUGUUAUUGUUAAAGAUUUGUUGAUCACUCUGCUUAAUCAUUCAUAUGCAGGUCAUAAUUUUUUAAACAUUUUUGAUAAAUGGCAGUACAAGUAAGUGAAUGGUACUUGUCAUAUAACAAUUUUAAGUUACAUUUUGAAAAGAAUAUUUUGAGAAUUGACGGUAAAUACAUUAAGUGAUGGGCUGUGAUUAGUGUAAAUUCAGAGCUGAUCAUGUAUCGAAUUUUUCUGUUUGAUCCUUUGUGUACUUUUUACUUCAACUAAAUUUUAAUGAACAAUUAAUAUUUAUUGAAUUAAUCAUUUUAAACAACAC